rnacentral:rRNA from 1 species
GAUGAACGCUGGCGGCGUGCCUAAUACAUGCAAGUCGAGCGAACAGACGAGGAGCUUGCUCCUCUGACGUUAGCGGCGGACGGGUGAGUAACACGUGGAUAACCUACCUAUAAGACUGGGAUAACUUCGGGAAACCGGAGCUAAUACCGGAUAAUAUAUUGAACCGCAUGGUUCAAUAGUGAAAGACGGUUUUGCUGUCACUUAUAGAUGGAUCCGCGCCGCAUUAGCUAGUUGGUAAGGUAACGGCUUACCAAGGCAACGAUGCGUAGCCGACUUGAGAGGGUGAUCGGCCACACUGGAACUGAGACACGGUCCAGACUCCUACGGGAGGCCGCAGUAGGGAAUCUUCCGCAAUGGGCGAAAGCCUGACGGAGCAACGCCGCGUGAGUGAUGAAGGUCUUCGGAUCGUAAAACUCUGUUAUUAGGGAAGAACAAAUGUGUAAGUAACUAUGCACGUCUUGACGGUACCUAAUCAGAAAGCCACGGCUAACUACGUG